AUUGAACGCUGGCGGCAGGCCUAACACAUGCAAGUCGAACGAGUGGCGGACGGGUGCGUAAUGCUUGGGAAACUGGCUGAUGGAGGGGGAUAACUACGGGAAACGGUAGCUAAUACCGCGUACCAUCGGAUGAGCCCAGAUGGGAGUGGGUAUGUGGUAGGGUAAAGGCUCACCUAGCCAACGAGCCCUAGCUGGUCUGAGAGGAUGACCAUCCACACUGGAACUGAGACACGGCCAAGACUCCUACGGGAGGCAGCAGUGGGGAAUAUGGCACAAUGGGCGCAACCCUGCUGCAGCCAUGCCGGGUGAAUGAAGAAGGCCUUCGGGUUGUAAAGUACUUUCGGUAGCGAGGCGUUACCUACAGAAGAAGCACCGGCUAACUCCGUGCCAGCAGCCGCGGUAAUUC
rnacentral:rRNA from 1 species